ensembl:lncRNA
GCUGUUUCCCUCACUGCCCGUCAUCUAUGAUAUUUAGGUUGUAAGCUGUUCCGGGCAGCUAUCACCUCAUACUGUGAAUGUGUUCACAGGUUUGGCUGAAAGGAUUCUUGCUCUUGCUGUGGCCUUUUGCCAAAUCUGCACUGGUGGCAGUGUGAAGGCAGUGUGUCCCUCUGCAGACACAGCUACACAAACAGCAAGGCUGUUGGAUCUCCUUGGAUCUCCAGGGCUGUAGCCCAUCUCCAACCACACCAAGCAAGCCUAGUGGGGUCGGAUUUCUUGGAAGGAAUUUUUUAUUUCAGCUUUCUACACUGUCUUUCCUGGCCCGUUGAUUAACUGUGUUGACUUACUUUUGCCUCGCUGAGCAAAAGCCCUUAAUGUUUUGCUGUCAGGGAUCCCCAGUCAAGGGCAGUGACCUCCUGGCUCCCAGGUAAGCCGGGUGACACCUUCUGUGUGUGGGCUGUUGAUCUUCUCUAACUGCUGCUGCGUCACGGUCACAUUAGGCUGUCUGAGAUGACAGUAUGAGACCUUGUAAUCCCUGCAAAUUCCCCCCUCACCUGGGCCCUUUGUGUUCACGGUUUGGAUUUACCGACCUUCUGUGAAGAGCUUUCAGAGGAUAAAAGUGGCAUUAAUGGUUUGAGGGUUCCAGACCUCAGUGAAGGCAUCACCUGCCUAUGAUCUCUAAGAGAGCCGUGCUCAGAGCCGUUAGACUGUCUGCUGGCACUCAGCAUCACAGAUUGUCGAGGGGCUCACUGGUACGAGGUUAUACAUUAGAGGAGAACUAGAAGAGAGAAUUAUUCUGGAAUACAGGUUGCUUCCAAACUGCUCUGAAUCAUACCGAAAUGGAGAGACCUGCCUCAGUGUUGUGCCUGAGAACGUGCUGUAUACAAAACUGUAAACCACUCCAUUCCGCUGAAAAUCCACCUGAGCUGGGACAAGCCCAUCUCUCCAGGAACUGCAGUUGCUCUCGUAGGAUGAUGAAGCAAAGGCGGUCAAACAGUAUUAGCAUGUGCACCUUGCCCAUCAUCCCAGAAUAUCCAGGCUUCCAGGACAUUAAGUUAUCAAGGAAUCAUUCAAAAACUCCAGCCUUCAACCAACUUUUCCAGGAUUUGGAAAAAGGAAAGAGCUUCUCAUCACAGCUGAAUACUUUUCCCAACAGAGCUCCAUUAGUCCAUUGUUUGGGAGGCUCUUCAAGAGGCUACCUGAAAGGCCACCCAACACCCAGCAGUGGCUUCCAUGACAAGCCACUGCAAGAGUAUUUCAACGAGAGGCUAAUGGAGCUGAGGAACUAUGAAAGUAAGAGGUCAAAUAGGAAGACAAAGGGGUUUGCUGAUAAGAACCAGAACACCUUCCUCAGCCGCAGAGGAUCUCGGCGCAGAAGCAGUUGCAGUGCCGUGGUAACGAUUGGGCACGGCAAGGAGAGUGAAGAGUCCUGCAGCUCAGCAAACCAAGACAACACAAAAGUGAUCCAGAGUGACGAUCAAGAGGAGACCCAGAAUGUCCUGGACCUCUACAAGAGUGACUUCUUGGACAUUUUGACAAUGCACAUCGCUGGUUCCCUAGCAACAUUUGUGCAGGAAAAAUGA